ACACUGAGUGGUGGGGGUGCGUACGAUCGCACAGGAAGAAAGGGGCACAAACCCUAAUUCAAGAUAAACCUUCAAAUUGAAAGGGGAAACUGGCUCUAAUCGGAUGCAUGAACCUAGAUUCUUAAUCAUCUAGACUUUCUACACAUGAGCUUGACUCUUGACAAGCUAUAUGGGAUCUUGGAGAAGAAUGGGUUAAACGGAUCAAGUACGCAAAGAAGCUCUAAAGGACACAAAUCACUUGUUCAUAGGAGCGAAUAGCAAUUUGGAUACUUGCAUCGCCAUAAAGUUUCGGUUAAUAAAGCGAGGUAUAAAAACGGGUCUAUGCGUUGACUCGAGCCAGGUGGCGUGGACUUAGCAUCAUUACGAAGAAAAGAAGGUUUGAAGAUCGAGUCAAGAGCGAGGGUUGUACGGGAAGGAUCGGUCACAUAAUUUGACAAAAAAAAAUAUAUAGGUCUUGAAGUAUUAAUAUAACGGGACGUGGUAAAUCCUUUUUAAUGAGUGUAUGAAUUUUUUUAGUUGAACCUUCCUGUAAGUGUUAUGUCUAGUAAAUAACGAAAUUUUUGGGCUCUUA